ensembl:lncRNA
CACGUUGUCCAUUUUAUUGGCAUACAACUGCUGAUAGUAGUCUCUUAUGAUCCUUUGUAUUUCUGUGUUGUCUGUUGUGAUCUCUCCAUUUUCAUUUCUAAUUUUAUUGAUUUGAUUUUUCUCUCUUUGCUUCUUGAUGAGUCUGGCUAAUGGUUUGUCAAUUUUAUUUAUCCUUUCAAAGAACCAGCUUUUGGCUUUGUUGAUUUUUGCUAUGGUCUCUUUUGUUUCUUUUGCAUUUAUUUCUGCCCUAAUUUUUAAGAUUUCUUUCCUUCUACUAACUCUGGGGUUCUCCAUUUCUUCCUUUUCUAGUUGCUUUAGUUGUAGAGUUAGGUUAUUUAUUUUACUUUUUUCUUGUUUCUUGAGGUAUGCCUGUAUUGCUAUGAACUUUCCUCUAAGCAC